CAUACAGGUAGUCUGCUUGUUCGAGGAUUUCUUCAAUUCUGAAGACUAUAAAAGAAAAAAGACACAAUAAACCAUAGAUAAUCACUUCUUUAUGGACAUCUUCCUACUGCUCAGGAUCUUUACCCAUUUCUACAUCUUGAGUUUCGAUCCUUCAGAGGGACACAGCAAUGUUCACUCCACUCCACACAGGUCUGCCUUGGGGGAAUCUAGCUGUUGUGUCUUGAGGCAGCUCUGAGGAGAAGCCCUCCUGGUGAGUAACAAGGCCUGCUCACAGGCACAUGAGUGAGCUUGGAAGCAGAACUUACCCUCUACCCCCAAACUCAGG